rnacentral:rRNA from 1 species
AACGAACGCUGGCGGCGUGCUUAACACAUGCAAGUCGAACGGGAUUAGGGGCUUGCUCCUAAUCUAGUGGCGCACGGGUGAGUAACGCGUGGAUAAUCUGCCUGAUGAUCUGGGAUAACAUUUCGAAAGGGGUGCUAAUACCGGAUAAGCCCACGAAGACUUCGGUUUUUGCGGGAAAAGAGGGGGACCUUCGGGCCUCUUGUCAUCAGAUGAGUCCGCGUACCAUUAGCUAGUUGGUGGGGUAAAGGCCUACCAAGGCGACGAUGGUUAGCUGGUCUGAGAGGAUGAUCAGCCACACUGGAACUGAGACACGGUCCAGACUCCUACGGGAGGCAGCAGUGGGGAAUUUUGCGCAAUGGGGGAAACCCUGACGCAGCAACGCCGCGUGAGUGAUGAAGGCCUUCGGGUCGUAAAGCUCUGUCUAGAGGAAAGAAGUGUGGGGCGGCUAAUAACCGUUUCACUUGACGGUACCUCUGAAGGAAGCACCGGCUAACUCCGUGCCAGCAGCCGCGGUAAUACGGAGGGUGCGAGCGUUGUUCGGAAUUAUUGGGCGUAAAGCGCGUGUAGGCGGUUUCUUAAGUCUGAUGUGAAAGCCCCGGGCCUAACCUGGGAAGUGCAUUGGAUACUGGGAGACUUGAGUACGGGAGAGGGUAGUGGAAUUCCUAGUGUAGGAGUGAAAUCCGUAGAUAUUAGGAGGAACACCGGUGGCGAAGGCGGCUGCCUGGACCGAUACUGACGCUGAGACGCGAAAGCGUGGGUAGCAAACAGGAUUAGAUACCCUGGUAGUCCACGCCGUAAACGAUGAGUACUAGGUGUUGCGGGUAUUGACCCCUGCAGUGCCGCAGCUAACGCAUUAAGUACUCCGCCUGGGAAGUACGGUCGCAAGACUA